rnacentral:tRNA from 1 species
GCCCCUGUAGCUCAGUUGGUUAGAGCAGCGGACUCAUAAUCCGUGGGUCCUAGGUUCAAGUCCUAGCGGGGGCA